CCAUAUUGGAAAACAAAAUAACAUCCAUAAACAACUUAACAUGUAGUCUUUUCAUUCAUGCAUGAAAUUAAACUAUAACAAUUCUAGAAAACAACAAUUUUAAAUCAAAUUUGUUCAUUCAAGUCAAAAAUUUAGACUAGCGUUUUUCAGUGAAAAAUUCUAAUUAGGAAAAGAAAAUUACUUUUCAAAAUGUGACUGAAACUUUCUAUAAAACUUGUAAGAAAUCUCCUGUAAAAUUAUUUGCAACCACUCUUCUAUUUUACAACUUGCCACAAUAAAGUAUUUCUGUGCUGAUGUGGCACAAAGCAAAUUGAGCCAAUCAAUCAACAGAGUAUUCAAAUGAAACUGACAAAAAAAAUUCAAUGAAUGAAUAUCUGUAUCUUCACAAUUAAAAGUUAUAAAAUAUCAGAAUGGAAAAAAAAAUGAUUAAAAAUUGUUGUUUUUGUUGCAAAUAAUGUUAGUAGACAUCAAUAGUAAACCGAGAUAAGAGUUAACAGAAGAAGAUAAAUAAAUACACUUCACAUUAAAAAUGGAUUUAAAGACAAUCUGUUUAGGGCAUACAUCAAUAAAUAUAUUAAUUAUAUCUGUAUAGGGUAUACAUCAAGUAGACUGAUAAAUAUAUAAUAUUAAGUCAAUGUCUGAAAAAAUCACCUGUAUGAGACUUGGAAACUAUUUUUUUAUAUUUUUAUUUUACUACAGCUACAAAUGGCUACAAUUAAAAUUAUUGAAAGACUAACAAAAAUACAAUUUAUUUUCCAUUCCUAAAUGAACCCCAGAAUGAAGAAAUCAAAAUUGCACGAAAAAUAUCUAUUAGAUACUAUAUUUAGUAAAAAAAAGACAUUCAGAAGUGUUUUACCCCAGUAUAAAUAUCUUUAUAAGGUAAAAAAAAUCAUCUUUUAUUUUGACAACAAUUUGUAUAUGAUAGACAUCAGACACAUCAACAAUUUAUCUUUAAUAAAACUAACAACCUUUUAACACUGCAAACAAAUUUAGCUCCCUACUUCAUAUUUUGAAUGAAAUAGUUUUUCUAAGCUUAUUAUAAAAAUAUAAUAGUCACAGCCAUAUGCUUACCAAACCACAAACAUCAAUGCUUCUUUUUCAGUUUUAACUAAUUUUAAUGAUUUAUUUUUUGUGGUGGAUUUCAGGAAGAAACCAUUUUGAAAUUCAUGGGGUUUAAUAUAUGUAAAUUGCAGUAAAAUUAUGUAUGCAAGGAAUUCACAAAAUAAUGUCUGAUAUAAUUUUAUAGCUUGAUAUAUAAUAUUAAAUUUUCAUUUUAUCAAAUCAUGGAGCACCAAAAAAAUCAGUUUACAUUGAAUUUUAUAUAUUUUUUGUUAGGUAGGCUUUCUUCAUUUAUACUCAUUCACAAAAUAUAAUAAUUCUAAGUCAUAAUUCCUUUAAAACACAUUAAGAAUUUUGGGGUGAUAUUUCUAUAGAUAUACUGUUUUCAAAGCAUAUGCAUGUUACAAUAUAUAUAUGGUAUAGUAAAUUAAAGAAUAAAGAAUUAAAAAAAAACCUAUCCAAGCCCUCAUGCAUAAAAAGUAAUAACAGGAAUCGCAAGAAAAAAAUAGUGCACAGUACAAUGGAUAGCGAAUCAACAUCUAACCCCUUUUAAAAGAAGUUUCAUCUAUAACUUAUAAAUGUACAAAUAGAAUUUCUGAUUAUUUUUUUAUAGGAUGUUGUUAAUUGUAAGAAAUACUUAUGACCCCUUUACAUUAGUUCUUAUUAUGGCAGUAAAUAACACUACAGGGAGAUAUCUCUGUAAAAGUCAGCUGAAUGUUUUAAUCAUGUUCUAUUGUUAAGGACAAAAAUACAAUUAUAUGUGGCCCUGUUUAUUCACCAGCUACUUUUAAAAUACUAUAUACUUUCAGUUCUAUUAAAUUAUACAUAUUUUUUAUUGCACAUUUAUUCUAAGAAUUCAAACAUAUUCACAAAACAUUUAUAACAAUAUACACAUAUAAUAUUCCAAUAUUGUCUGAAAAUAGCUUCAAAUAUAUACUCAUUGACAAGGAAACAAUUUAAGAUAACUUGUGUAGCCAUUAUAAUGAUAUGCAUAAUAUUCAUUCAAGUUGUCUUUAAGUUGUUUCCUUAUACACAGAGACAUCCCAGGGGUACAUAUAUUACUUUUUUGUUCAAACACACUAUCAGUAAAAGAUUCAAAAUGCUAAUAGUCAUACGAGAUUAAUCUGUCUGGUUUUAAAAAAAAAGUUCAUUAUAAAUACAUAAGAAUAUUUGUAUUUUUUUUCGUACUGGUAAUUGAAUUUGAUUUGUUUGAACUUUAUAGAUGUAUUCAUUACAAUCAAUAAGUGCAAAAUUUCAGUUUGAACUUAUUUAAGUUAAAUAAUUUAUAAGGAAAAAGAGUAAAUCAUAAAGUAUUUUCCAUCAAAACAGAAUUUAAAUAAUUUGAAAAAGUGAAUAAUUCUAUAUUUUCUUUUCAAGAGAAUUUCAU
rnacentral:lncRNA from 1 species